GGACGCUGGAAGUCCGACAACAAGAUAUUGGAAAGACAACAUCUGAAAAUUCUGCCUGAUAGAUAGAGAGAAGCAUCCUGGCAAGAGACACGGAGCUGACAGACGAAGAGAUGCACGUCUGACAGAAUUGGGACUAUUCACCCAAAGUCUGGGAAUUCAGCCAAAAAUUCCUGAAGGAUGAAUUCCUUUUCCUCGGUGAGGUUGACAUUUGAGCACACAUCGCCCUCUUGUGUCUACGACACAUUUGGCAACGUAGUUUCCAGCACCUGCUAAUGCACACAGCAAAUUGAAGCCUUGUUAACAUCCCUUAAGCCUGCAGACCUCGGUACAAGGCGGAGGGAGAACAAACGCACCAAUUUUCCCAGAAUAGUCAAGAACAUCCAGAAGAAUCCAGAAUUUGUGAAGAUGGUACUGGUAACUACCCAACCCAGAGCUUUGAAAGUUAAAAAAUGUAUAAGGUACCAUAAAAUUCAUAUUCAAGAGCUCACAGUCAGAAAAUGUUUACCUUCUAAAAGAGCUGGACAUUUUCCAUAAACCGAAAGUUGGACUAUACAGUAGAUACAUGAAGAUGUCCUCCUAGCAUUUUCAUAUUUGACCUAUUGACUUUUGAAUCACCAUUCAUAUCCUCUUUGAUGUUGCCCAUCCACACACCCACACCCACAUAAGCCAUGUGUGUAAAUAUGCCCAUCUGCAGGUUUUCUGUUCUUAAUGACAAUUUCAGACUGCUCGGCUUGCUCCUACACCUUCUUAUGGAGAUACAAGAACUUUGGAUCUCUGGCCCCCCUCAGUCCUCGCUCCUCCAUCCCUGUAAGCAGGUGCAAGGCGUGUUUCUGGCACAGUCCACCAAACUCCUGAAUCUGAAGCUCCCACAGUCACUGACCCAAGUGUGGCCUGGAUGAGACUGGUGGCCCAAGCCUCUAUUAUGCUGUUUUUUUUGUUGUUGUUGUUAUUUGUUUGUUUGUUUUGAAAUGGAGUCUUGCUCUGUCACCCAGGCUGGAGGCCAGUGGCGCAAUCUCGGCUCACUGCAGCCUCUGCCUCCAGGGUUCAAGCAAUUCUCCUGCCUCAGCCUCCCUAGUAGCUGGGACUACAGGCGUGCGCCACCACACUCGGCUAAUUUUUGUAUUGUUUGUAGAGACGGGGUUUCACCAUGUUGGCCAGGAUGGUCUUGAUCUCCUGACCUCAUGAUCCGCCCGCCUUGGCCUCCCAAAGUGCUGGGAUUUCAGGCAUGAGCCACCAUGCCCAGCCUUAUACUGGUUUUUACAGCAAAGAGACUAGAAUAAAAGAUACUUUCACAUUGACACUAUAAAAAUCGUCCUUUGAACACUUAGUUAUGUAUUGUUCUGGGUUAGGUAGUAUAGAUAAAGACAUACUUUGCCCAGUAGGAAGGGACUCCCUUCAUCUACGUACAUUUUAUGCCUCUAUCUCUCAUACAGGUGGACCUUACCUUCCGAAAACUGCUAUCAGGGCCUCUGCAGGAGGCCCUGGCUGUGAUAAAUGUGCAUCUGUAGAGUGCACAACCUGAACAUCCUUACCAAGCAGCCCUGACCAAUAUCUUCCUGCCUAAAGAGUGCCAAUGCUGAGAGUAUGCCUUUAAAACCCCAUUUUGGCCAUUUCUCAAGAAGUAAGUGAGACUUGUACUUCCCUAUCUCCCCUUAAGGGGAGUCCCCAGUGCAUUAGUGGUAGAGCUCUCCCUAAGGACUUUUGUGUGCGUCUCCACCCUCUGUUCUUCUAGGUGCAUCCUGUUUUUAAUGGGGCAUAAUCUCUUACCUCAAAAGAGCAAAGCUCCACUGGCAAACCUCUAGACCACAUUAGUGAUCAGCAAGUAAGGGGGACAUUUGGUGCAGCAUCACAUUUCUGACAUCCCUUCAUGCUUUUUAUGUCUGACUCUGUCAUCUCUGCUAAAAGAAGCCUCUCUUUUUAUUUCCUUUUUUUCUUCUAGUUUUUUUUUUUGUUUUUUUUUUUUUUUUGUAGACAGGGCCUAGUGGUCUUCCUAGGCUGGUCUCAAACUUCUGGACUCAAGGGAUAUUCCCACCUCAGCCUCCCAAACUGUUGGGAUUACAGGCGUGAGCCAU
rnacentral:lncRNA from 1 species